rnacentral:lncRNA from 1 species
AACAAAAAUCCAACAUGCAAUUGACUGUGAGUUAAGCAAGAUUGAUAAAGGAACAUAUAUAAGAAUCUAUGAGGAGGAUGCCAAAAAUCAUAAGUAACAUAGAGAAAAGAGAUGAGUCAACCAAGAAAGAAGCUAACUAUGGAGAUGACCAAUGCAUCAAGUCCCCAUUCUGCUUGAUUGGUCGAUUGGGAAACGGAUGCCUCUUGUGGACCUUGAAUGGGAUACACUGGCAUGAACCAGGGGACAUAGAGUACUGAGCCAUUGUGGAAUGUCUAGUGUCCACAUACACUGCCUAAAUAUUAUCAGAAUCAAGACAUUAGAAGGCAAAAAAGAAUUCCAAGGAGAAGGACUGGAAGCGAGAGUGCAAUAAUGAGGAAGAAACACAUCUACGGCUAGAAUUGGGUGCCCGAAGAUAAGUAUCAUUGUAUAUAGGAGAAUGCAUAUCGGUUAACCAUGUUGAGCAUCGUGUAACAUAUUUGACUGGUUUUGGUACAAGUGCAAUGUUUGACCAGCUAUCUACAAUCUGUCAAUGCUCACAACUGGAGUAUGAAUAGAACACCAAUUUUCGUGUUGUUUUUUUCUUUUUUUCUUUUUUUGUGAAAACUAAUGUAAGUCAAUAUAUGGAGGAACCAAAUCCCAAUAGAGUCUGAAAUUUUUUAAAAAAAAUUUUAUAAUUUAUUGGAUACCUUCCUGUAUAUAUGAAGAGCCAAACGUCUUCUAGGAUACAUGCGUAAUUAAUUAAUUUCACAAUUGAACUGAUAGAGGACUAUAGGUUUUAAUGAAAUUGUGCUGUUGUUACCCGAAGUAUAGCUGGUUAUAGUGCCAAUAAUAGUUUGAAGCAACAGGGAAAUGCUAUGCAAGGGUUGCAAAAAGAGCCCCUUGGCCAGGAGGUUGAGCAUGAAAGAAGUAUAACAAAGCUAAAACUCUAAGAUCUGCCUCAAGAAAAAACCAGUGGUAGUCAAAAUGAAAGGCAUAUGAGCAUAUUACAUGUGAAUUAGCAUUCUUAAGGCAGAUUGAGGAUAUAUCCCUUUUGUUCAUGGACUGCAAAUGCAUCAUAAAUGGAGCUAAAACUUAGAAAAGCAAAGGAGAAAGUUAAUUUCCAGGGAUCCUAACUGUUAGUGCAGGUGAAAUCCUGGGUAUAGCUAAAGCUUCCCUAACCUUAUGAUUAUUCUUAUGCAGUUGUUUGCCAAAAUCGGAAACCUGUCACAUACUUGAGAAAGUAAUGGGCUUGCAGCUUUGUAUCAAUUUCUCUGAUCAGGAGGCCAUUGAAGUAGAAACCCUAGCAGAACCUUGCUCUGAGGUCUUCUUUGACAGCUACACACAAAUAUAUCUGAUUGAUCACUUGACACUUUGGAGGACUCCACGUGUGUAAUCCAUAAGGCAAUGUUGAGGAAGAUCUCUGAGCAGUUUGAUUGAGGCACAUUUGGCAGAUAUUUGCCCGCCUUGUACGCUACGCAUAUUCUAUGUGUUUCCCACUAGUUUCCUCCUUUUAAGUUUGGUUUGGACUCUGC